rnacentral:rRNA from 1 species
UACGUAGGGCGCAAGCGUUGUCCGGAAUUAUUGGGCGUAAAGAGCUCGUAGGCGGCCUGUUGCGUCCGCUGUGAAAUCCCGGGGCUUAACCCCGGGCCUGCAGUGGAUACGGGCAGGCUGGAGGCAGGCAGGGGAGAACGGAAUUCCUGGUGUAGCGGUGGAAUGCGCAGAUAUCAGGAGGAACACCGAUGGCGAAGGCAGAUCUCUGGGCCGUAACUGACGCUGAGGAGCGAAAGCAUGGGGAGCGAACAGG